rnacentral:snRNA from 1 species
GGAUGUGAGGGCAAUGUGCCAUCUGUCAGGAUUGAUUGACUGCUCUGACUGGUUAGGUGGGUAUCCUCUUCUUCCCUCACCACUCCGCGUGUGUCCUUCACCAGACUACACACUCGGGUUGACGAGGACCAUCUUCCUCAAAUAGAGGGGGCCAGUCUUCGGUCAAGGGUAUACAAAUAGCUGUGCUCCCCUGCUAGAACCUCCCAGCACUCUCUCAAGGUGUGUUUCCUGAAUGCAGCAGAAGGAUGGAUCCUUUUUUUUUUCAUCCAUUCUCUUAGUCUGUAUCUUUUUGUUUAGGGAAAUGA